AGUCAGGCAGCCUGUGGAUAAGCUAGCUUGUUCAGACCUAGAGGAUUGGAACAUCUAACUGGGACAUUGAAUAGCAAGGAAUAUGAAUGACGUGGAACCACAGAGACAGAGUUUUGCCAAGUUGCUCAGGCUGAUCUCUCCUCUUGGGCUCAAGUGAUCUGCCAGCCUUGGCCUCCUGAAGUGCUGGGAUUAUAGGCAUGAGCCACCAUGCCCGGCCCAAUAUCAACAUUCUGAACAUCAGCCUUUGUACUGAGUGAUAAUACAGCAAAGCUGUCAAGGCCCACUGGGAGAACAAAGAGAGGUGGAUCCCAGGAGGCAGCCAGGGGAUGCAGGGAGCCAACAUGCCAUCAGAGAGGGGUGAAGAGAUAAGGUCCCAAGGAAAGCUAUUGGAAAGCUUUCUACCAAAAGGGAGAUCAAGGACCACAGAGCACAUCCUGAAAGACAAGCUUGGGGAGUCAGAAGAAGCUCAUUUGUUUGCUUGGAUGGCUGAAACAUGGACCAAAAAGGUUACCCACAGUAAACGAACUUGAAAUGCCAGAACUACCCUGGUUACUCUAGAGGAAGGGAUUGACAAGCUUAUGGAGAAAGAAGAGUUGGCGUGAAUUUAUCAUUUCAGAUCUGCGCAUCCACCCUGGAACACUUUUUUCCGUAUCUGUGAGAAAUAAAUGUGUGAGGAGAGCCCUACCAACCUUGAAGAGUUCUGGGGUCACUCUCUCACUAGGCAAGAACUUAUAGUGGGAGCUGCUGUCACUGAAUUGGGAAACCUACAUUUGUAUCCCAUAUAAUAUAUUUGACAUUGAAUUUUGUGUUUUCUGGUGUUAUUGCUACAAUUGCCUUUCUUUUUGUCAGACUCAACUGAUACAUUUUAUCCAUCUCUUUAUCUUUUGGGGGUCCUAUUUUCAGGUGUGUCUCUUACAUGCUAUAAUGUUGGGCAUGCACAGCCACAUUCCAUUAUCGAAUGGGAGUGGUGUUAUAUUCAAGAUUGGGCUUCAUCAGGACCUGAAGGCAUGUGCAUAAAUGACAUGAAAAAGUGGCACGAACAUCCACAGUGUUCACUCUUGCUACCCACCUUCUCUCUCCCAGCCAGUGUCUAUGGCCUCAUGAAGAGUUCCCUGCAAUCAGUUGAAAAAACAUGAAAGAUUUCAGGCUUAAUUUUAAAAUGGUUUUUCAUGAUAUACAGAUACUUCCAGGAAGUGGACAGCUGCAGCACUGUAGCCCCUCUCUAGGACAUUCCUGAAGGAAAGGGUGAAGGG